AAACAGGCGAUGAAAAGGAAGAGUAGGUUUAUCCCGGUCUUUCCAGAGAAGGGCGCCCCGGCUGCAAGCGCCCCGGGACGCAGGGGAUCCGAAAACCACCUUGGAGCCGCCGGCCGAAAGAAGAGUAGGCCGUGCCGGGCGCAGCCGUUAACUGCUUUUUGAGUGAGGGGGUUUAUGCUCCCUAACCAGGGUGGAACCGCGGAAAAAUUCGUCUCUGAC
rnacentral:ncRNA from 1 species